rnacentral:lncRNA from 1 species
UAUUUUUAUGUUACAACAACCUUUACUUUCCUGCACAAUCUCACAUUUGAGAGAAUUGGACUAAAAAUACUGGAAAGGAGUAAUAGAAGCAGUAGCAGCAGCUCUCACUUUUAGAUCAGGUAUUAAGAAUAUGCCAGACAUGGUGCUAAGCUCAACACAGGUGUUACUUAAUAACUCCACACAACAAACCUGUGAGCUGAUUGUUGUUAUCCCUAUUUUCCAGAUGAGGAAGUUGAGGUUCAGAAGUGUCAGUGACUUGCCCAAAUAAAACAACUAGAAAGUGUUAGAGCCAAGAUUUGAACUUAUAUGAAAUAGAACAUUUCAAUGACUGAGAUAGAAAUGGAUAUAUAUAAUCUCCUUGCUCUUAACCACUAUGCAUAUUACUUAUAGCAAAUGGAGAGUAAGAGAAGAGAACAAUACAAUCAAAGUCAUAAAGGUGAAGAAGUGAGAGCUUAAAAGCAUCCAGUAAGUAGUUCAAUUUGGCUAGAGCCUGCAGCGUGUGCAAGGGACUCUACACCAGGGACUGCCUUACCACCCUAGAAAGGAGGUACUAUAUAUGCCUUGAAUGACAGGCAGGUGAGUUUGUUUUCAAUAUGAUAGGCAGUUAGAAGCUGAUAUAGUUUGGAUAUUUGUCCCUGACCCAAUCUCACAUUGAAAUGUAAUCCCCAAUACUGGAGGUGGGUCCUGGUGGGAGGUGCUUGGGUCCUGGUGGUGGAUCCCUCAUGGCUUGGUGCUGUCCUUGCAACUAACAAUAAUGUUAUUCUAUUGUAUCGUAUAUACAUACACUACUCUAAUAAAUUAUUUACAUUAUAAAACAUAUAUAAAACAGAACAUUUCAAAGAUUGAGAUUAAAAUGUACAUAUGUGUGGAAAUUCUAAUAUUUGUUACAGCACUCAGUGUUUAAGUGUUCCACUUCAGAGAACUGGCUUAAGAUCAUAGAGAGGACCUGAAUCAGAAUAGUGCCUGGGGGGAAAAAAGAGGUUGGAAGCAGAUGCAAGAGCAUAUGGAGAUGGAAUUACAUGAUCAGCGACUGCCUGGAACAUGGGUGGGAGGAGUCGGAAAUGACUCUGGCACGUCAAGCCUCUGGGAGCCUGGAAAAGCUGCCACACCAUGAAUGUGCAUACCCAUGCCAGGGAAGGAGCAGGCUUCAGGCAGAAGAUGGUAAGUUCAAUUUUAAAGAGUCAACAGGGCAUCCUUUUGACAAAUAAGUUUUAAGAAAUAUAAGCCUAGAAUGCAGAAGAGUCUGUAUAA